UGCCAUAAAAAAUAUGCGAAAAUUAAUAAUUUUUCCAGCUGUACUUUAGGUAUAUAAAGAGGUUAUUUUCCAUUAAAACCUUACAUCUUCUCUUGGGGAAAAUCGAAAUUGUUGGAAAGUCACCAGGAUGAAAGCCUGCUUAUUUACGAUAUGUCUCCUACUUUCUGUGGGCUCAAUGAACGCCAAAAUUAUUUGCAAUGACCAUGGAGAUUGGUGUUACGAUGGCUACACUUGCUGUCCUAACCAGCAACAUAGGAUUAUGUGCUGCCCUCUUCAAAAUGCUGUGUGCUGUGCAGAUACAUGGUGCUGCCCAUCAGGCAUGAAGUGUAUCAUGGAGAAAAAGUGGUGUGUGUAUGAUUAUGAAGCUAUUUUCUCUCGUCAUCAUAUGACUCCAGCCAACCAUUAACAAACCGUUUCUUGUAACAAUGCUAUGUUUAUGAGUCCAGAAAUAAAUAUAUAGAAAUAUGA